rnacentral:rRNA from 1 species
GGACGGGUGAGUAACACGUGGGUAACCUGCCUGUAAGACUGGGAUAACUCCGGGAAACCGGGGCUAAUACCGGAUGCUUGAUUGAACCGCAUGGUUCAAUCAUAAAAGGUGGCUUUUAGCUACCACUUGCAGAUGGACCCGCGGCGCAUUAGCUAGUUGGUGAGGUAACGGCUCACCAAGGCGACGAUGCGUAGCCGACUGAGAGGGUGAUCGGCCACACUGGGACUGAGACACGGCCCAGACUCCUACGGGAGGCAGCAGUAGGGAAUCUUCCGCAAUGGACGAAAGUCUGACGGAGCAACGCCGCGUGAGUGAUGAAGGUUUUCGGAUCGUAAAACUCUGUUGUUAGGGAAGAACAAGUACCGUUCGAAUAGGGCGGCACCUUGACGGUACCUAACCAGAAAGCCACGGCUAACUACGUGCCAGCAGCCGCGGUAAUACGUAGGUGGCAAGCGUUGUCCGGAAUUAUUGGGCGUAAAGCGCGCGCAGGCGGUUUCUUAAGUCUGAUGUGAAAGCCCCCGGCUCAACCGGGGAGGGUCAUUGGAAACUGGGGAACUUGAGUGCAGAAGAGGAGAGUGGAAUUCCACGUGUAGCGGUGAAAUGCGUAGAGAUGUGGAGGAACACCAGUGGCGAAGGCGACUCUCUGGUCUGUAACUGACGCUGAGGCGCGAAAGCGUGGGGAGCGAACAGGAUUAGAUACCCUGGUAGUCCACGCCGUAAACGAUGAGUGCUAAGUGUUAGAGGGUUUCCGCCCUUUAGUGCUGCAGCAAACGCAUUAAGCACUCCGCCUGGGGAGUACGGUCGCAAGACUGAAACUCAAAGGAAUUGACGGGGGCCCGCACAAGCGGUGGAGCAUGUGGUUUAAUUCGAAGCAACGCGAAGAACCUUACCAGGUCUUGACAUCCUCUGACAACCCUAGAGAUAGGGCUUCCCCUUCGGGGGCAGAGUGACAGGUGGUGCAUGGUUGUCGUCAGCUCGUGUCGUGAGAUGUUGGGUUAAGUCCCGCAACGAGCGCAACCCUUGAUCUUAGUUGCCAGCAUUCAGUUGGGCACUCUAAGGUGACUGCCGGUGACAAACCGGAGGAAGGUGGGGAUGACGUCAAAUCAUCAUGCCCCUUAUGACCUGGGCUACACACGUGCUACAAUGGGCAGAACAAAGGGCAGCGAAGCCGCGAGGCUAAGCCAAUCCCACAAAUCUGUUCUCAGUUCGGAUCGCAGUCUGCAACUCGACUGCGUGAAGCUGGAAUCGCUAGUAAUCGCGGAUCAGCAUGCCGCGGUG